UGUUCACAGAGCAGUUACAUUGUAGCACAAACAACACACAAGCAGCCAAUCAAAGACAAACUUCAGUCAAAACCACGCCUUCUCCAUUUUGGCAUGUUUCCUGUUCUUAGAAUUGAAGCCCUUUGCUGUUCGCAGAGUAUCAGAGUCUGAGUAUUAUUUAGUUUUUCGCAGAAUAUCAGAAACUUUCAGUUCUCAGAAUCGAAGCCCCUUUGCUGUUUAAUACGCAUCUUCUCAUUAUAUAAAAAUCCCCCUGAAGCUCAGACGGCACAACAUUAGCAGGGAUCUCAGAGUUGUGAUGGACGUUUCUUCUCUUCAGCUCAACACAAGAUGGAGUGUAGAAAUGAGAUAACACAGAGAAAACUGCUGGAGUAUCAGAAUCCAGAUAGGAAAUAAAUCAACAGGACAGAGAGAAAAAUGGAGGCCAGAAAUGAGACACAAACCAGUGAAACACAAGAGAAAAGCAGACGGACGCUUGUUAGAUGUGACAGUAUGAAGAUAAAAAAACCAGACUUCUCACGUGAUCCAGACGGACCUGUAAACUUUCAUUCUGAUGAAACUUCAGCAUGUUCUCAAGAACACACAGCAUCCCUGAGACA